rnacentral:rRNA from 1 species
CCUACGGGUGGCAGCAGUGAGGAAUAUUGGUCAAUGGGCGCGAGCCUGAACCAGCCAAGUCGCGUGAGGGAUGACGGCCCUACGGGUUGUAAACCUCUUUUGCCGGGGAGCAACGGGCGCCACGUGUGGCGCCACUGAGGGUACCCGGAGAAAAAGCAUCGGCUAACUCCGGGCCAGCAGCCGCGGUAAUACGGAGGAUGCGAGCGUUAUCCGGAUUCAUUGGGGUUAAGGGGUGCGCAGGCGGGCCUUUAAGCCGGCGGUGAAAGCGCGGGGCUCAACCCCGCCGAGCCGUCGAAACUGGGGGCCUUGAGUGCGGCGGAGGCAUGCGGAAUGCGCGGUGUAGCGGUGAAAUGCAUAGAUAUCGCGCAGAACCCCGAUUGCGAAGGCAGCGUGCCGUGCCGCCACUGACGCUGAGGCACGAAAGCGCGGGGAUCGAACAGGAUUAGAUACCCUUGUAGUC